rnacentral:rRNA from 1 species
UACGAAGGGUGCAAGCGUUGUUCGGAUUGACUGGGCGUAAAGAGCACGUAGGCGGGUUCUUAAGUCGGAUGUGAAAGCCCUGGGCUUAACCUAGGAACUGCAUCCGAAACUGAGAAUCUUGAAUGCUUGAGAGGUUGGUGGAAUUCCAGGUGUAGGAGUGAAAUCCGUAGAGAUCUGGAGGAACAUCGGCGGCGAAGGCGGCCAACUGGCGAUGCAUUGACGCUGAGGUGCGAAAGCGUGGGGAGCAAACAGG